UACUCCUGCCGACCAAGAGCAACUCCUUUGUCAACUAAAAGAAGAAAAAGAGUACCAACUACUUUGAUAAUUGUACUUCUCCUUUUGCUUGAAGAGUAGAGAAUCUUGACAAAUCUGAAGUAUCAUUUUCAAUGGGAGAAGCUCAAGAGAAGCAACUCAAUAUUUCUCUUAAAGAAGAAGCUAAGGAAGCUGAUCAUACGGAGAAUAUUAAUGCAAAUGUUUUCCCUCAAUCGUGGUGCGCAAAAUAUAACAAGUGGAUUGAAAUAUUCUUCAAUAUAGUAUUGGUCCUGACUUGCCAAUCCGCUGCUACACUCCUUGGCGAACUUUACUACAGAGAGGGUGGUAAAACCACAUGGUUGGUUUCACUUCUGCAAAAUGGUGGAUUUCCAUUACUUCUCCCCAUUUAUUUCCUGAAUAAAAUUCCUAAAAAAUGUACUCCUACUAGUGAUGAUGAAAACAACACGAGCAGUGGUAUAUCUAUUUGGAAGUAAUUAUCGGUAUACGUCUUUCUGGGUACUUUAUUGGGUGGAUGUUGUAUGUUGAGUGCUGUGGGCCUGUUAUACCUUCCUGUUUCAACAUUUUCCCUUAUUAACACAACUCAAUUGGGGUUCAACACCUUGUUCUCAUUUUUCCUCAACUCUAAAAAAAUAACUACCUAUAUAGCCAAUUCUAUAUUCCUACUCACAAUCUCCUCUAUUCUUCUUGUGUUGCAACGUGAUGACUCCUCUUCAGGCCAUAACAAAGGCGGUAAACAUUAUAUAAUAGGGUUUAUAUGUAAGCUAUUUGCCUCAGCAGGUUAUGCAUUGUUGUUAUCAUUCACAGAGCGCGUAUUCAGGAACAUCAUUAAAAAACGCACAAUGAAAGAAGUAAUAAACUUAGUGAUUUGGCAAUCGUUUUUCGCCACUUUUGUCAUUCUCAUUGGCCUUUUCGCGAGCGGAGGAUGGAAAGGUCUUAAAACAGAGAUGCAGGAAUACAAGCUAGGGAAAUUGUCCUAUGUUAUGACAUUGGUAUGGAAUGCUUUGUGUUGGCAGAUUUAUACAAUUGUUGUUCUCAGCUUAAUUACGAAGGUAUCUGCCCUAUUUGCCAAUGUCAUUACUGCAUUGACUAUACCUCUUAUUCCAAUUCUUGCUGUUAUUAUAUUCCAUGAGAAGAUGAGUGGGGUGAAGGCUGUUUCCAUGAUUUUGGCCAUUUGGGGAUUUUUAUCUUAUGCUUAUCAGCAAUAUCUUGAUGAACUAAAGCUCAAAGCUGAUAUGUCAAAGGCCAAUGAAGAAUCUGAAGUUUCCCUUGUUGAACAAGGAUGAAUUGGGCCGAAGCUACGUUGAUCCAAGGGUGGUCAACUGAACAUCCUUCGCCGAAAAAUCAUACUACUACGUAUAAGGUAAAAUAUUACUGUUACUGAUUAAAAAUAGACUUUGAACACACUUGCAUAGCCAACUGGCAAAGGGUAUUCAAAAUUUGAACACUCUUAUUAAAUUUCCUAGCUUCGCCACUGAAUAUACGUAUACAAUUGAGAAAAUAUUUAAUUGCAGGCUGUUACUGCAGUGUUCUUGAAGCUUUAGUUUGUCCCUGAAAGUGGGUACACGGCCGCUUAAAUCUUAUAAGUGCUUAUAAAACUCUACAUGCAAACGUUGAGAAUCAUUAAUAUAUUAUCGUACACGUCAAUCUGAUGAUAGUAAAGACAAAUUAUGAAAAUAAAAUUGGAUUCUACUGGUUUCCAAAUCACAUGCUCUAUCGACUUGGUAAACGCGGAAAGGACAAAUUAAGUAAUUAAAAAAGGCUUCGCAGCCGUAGUAUCACUUUUAAAUCUUGUUUUUUUUAUUUGUAAACAAAAUCAUUAAGUGUAUUUUUUUCAAACCACGCUUAAUUUGCAUAUGAGGCCAUCUUUAUGACGAUGCCCUUCCUUUCGAGCAUUAUGUUAUUAGGUGUUUGUCCAGAUUUUCUUACCAUAAUUAGUUUUUCUAUUUUAUGACGGAAAGGACAACAUAUUUACCAUAAUUGGAUUUUUCUUUUUCAAUAAGGAAAAUAUAAUUCUUCCAUAUUUGGCU